rnacentral:rRNA from 1 species
GACAGAGGUGCCAAGCGUUAGGCGGAAUUACUGGGCGUAAAGCGCACGUAGGCGGCUUCUUAAGUCGGAGGUGAAAUCCUGGAGCUCAACUCCAGAACUGCCUUCGAUACUGGGAAGCUCGAGUCCGGGAGAGGUGAGUGGAACUGCGAGUGUAGAGGUGAAAUUCGUAGAUAUUCGCAAGAACACCAGUGGCGAAGGCGGCUCACUGGCCCGGUACUGACGCUGAGGUGCGAAAGCGUGGGGAGCAAACAGG